AGUGAACGCUGGCGGUAGGCCUAACACAUGCCAGUCGAACGGCAGCACAGUAAGAGCUUGCUCUUACGGUUGGCGAGUGGCGGACGGGUGAGGCAUACAUCGGAAUCUACUUUUUCUUGGGGGAUAACGUAGGGAAACUUACGCUAAUACCGCAUACGACCUACGGGUGAAAUCAGGGGAUCUUCAGACCUUUCGCGAUUGAAUGAGCCGAUGUCGGAUUAGCUAGUUGGCGUGGUAAAGGCCCACCAAGGCGACGAUCCGUAGCUGGUCUGAGAGGAUGAUCAGCCACACUGGAACUGAGACACGGUCCAGACUCCUACGGGAGGCAGCAGUGGGGAAUAUUGGACAAUGGGCGAAAGCCUGAUCCAGCCAUACCGCGUGGGUGAAGAAGGCCUUCGGGUUGUAAAGCCCUUUUGUUGGGAAAGAAAAGCAGCAGGUUAAUACCCCGCUGUUCUGACGGUACCCAAAGAAUAAGCACCGGCUAACUUCGUG
rnacentral:rRNA from 1 species